rnacentral:misc_RNA from 1 species
AGCUUGCAUUCAAUGUCCUCCAGCAAUCAACUAAUACAUAAGCUGAUUCAUUUGUCCCUGCAACUGCCACCUGAGCCCGUGCAUAGCCUUGGUUAUUUCGUGCAGUUGAAACUGCAGUUGAAAGAGCCUGCCUAGCUGAUUCUCCAAAUGUUGAAUUCUUUCUUGUUGUAUUUCCACACACAACUUCAUCUUCAGGUCCUUUAUAUUCCUCAUAGAAGCUAUAGUUUUCUGAUCUCACGAAGCAACCAUCAAGAAAAAUGCGACCCCCAUUGUAAGGAUAGCAUUGUGGUAGAACUGUUCGGGCAGCAGUGUAGCAUAAUACACAGUCAAGUAAAGAAAGGUCUCUAU